GAUGAACGCUGGCGGCGUGCCUAAUACAUGCAAGUCGAGCGAACGGACGAGAAGCUUGCUUCUCUGAGGUUAGCGGCGGACGGGUGAGUAACACGUGGAUAACCUACCUAUAAGACUGGGAUAACUUCGGGAAACCGGAGCUAAUACCGGAUAAUAUUUUGAACCGCAUGGUUCAAAAGUGAAAGACGGUCUUGCUGUCACUUAUAGAUGGAUCCGCGCUGCAUUAGCUAGUUGGUAAGGUAACGGCUUACCAAGGCAACGAUGCAUAGCCGACCUGAGAGGGUGAUCGGCCACACUGGAACUGAGACACGGUCCAGACUCCUACGGGAGGCAGCAGUAGGGAAUCUUCCGCAAUGGGCGAAAGCCUGACGGAGCAACGCCGCGUGAGUGAUGAAGGUCUUCGGAUCGUAAAACUCUGUUAUUAGGGAAGAACAUAUGUGUAAGUAACUGUGCACAUCUUGACGGUACCUAAUCAGAAAGCCACGGCUAACUACGUG
rnacentral:rRNA from 1 species